rnacentral:sRNA from 1 species
AUUCCUUGAGGGAAGAAGAAAGGAGAGAAUCUGCUGCAGCAGACGCUGGCUUUGCUCUCUUUGAGAAGAAGGUAAUAGCAGGAAUGGCCAGUACGUCAUGAUGGGAACUUACCUAAAACUUGAGUCUCAUGGCUUGUCCUCUGUUUCCCAGGGAGCCUUAGCUGAAAGGCAGCAGCUCAUCCCAGAAUUGGUGCGAAAUGGAGAUGAGGAGAAUCCCCUCAAAAGGGGUCUGGUUGCUGCUUACAGUGGUGACAGUGACAAUGAGGAGGAGCUGGUGGAGAGACUUGAGAGUGAGGAAGAGAAGCUAGCUGACUGGAAGAAGAUGGCCUGUCUGCUCUGCCGGCGCCAGUUCCCGAACAAAGAUGCCCUAGUCAGGCACCAGCAACUCUCAGACCUUCACAAGCAAAACAUGGACAUCUACCGACGAUCCAGGCUGAGCGAGCAGGAGCUGGAAGCCUUGGAGCUAAGGGAGAGAGAGAUGAAAUACCGAGACCGAGCUGCAGAAAGACGGGAGAAGUAUGGCAUUCCAGAACCUCCAGAGCCCAAGCGCAAGAAGCAGUUUGAUGCCGGCACUGUGUAUGUGAUGUGCACAUUUUCCAGUUCGUAAGCUGGGGCCCUGGCUGUUUUAAGUAACUGUGUGUUUGCCACUGGCAGGAAUUACGAGCAACCCACCAAAGAUGGCAUUGACCACAGUAACAUUGGCAACAAGAUGCUGCAGGCCAUGGGCUGGCGGGAAGGCUCUGGCUUGGGACGAAAGUGUCAAGGCAUUACGGCUCCCAUUGAG